rnacentral:rRNA from 1 species
CCUACGGGCGGCAGCAGUGGGGGAUAUUGCACAAUGGGGGGAACCCUGAUGCAGCGACGCCGCGUGGGUGAAGGAGUGCUUCGGCAUGUAAAGCCCUAUCGGCAGGGAAGAAGCAAGACGGUACCUGACUAAGAAGCCCCGGCUAACUACGUUCCAGCAGCCGCGGUAAGACGUAGGGGGCGAGCGUUAUCCGGAUUCACUGGGUGUAAAGGGAGCGUAGACGGCCAUGCCAGCCAGGGGUGAAAGCCCGGGGCCCAACCCCGGGACUGCCCGUGGAACUGCAUGGCGGGAGGGCGGGAGGGGCAGGCGGAAUUCCUGGUGUAGCGGUGAAAUGCGUAGAUAUCAGGAGGAACACCGGCGGCGAAGGCGGCCUGCUGGACCGCGACGGACGUUGAGGCUCGAAAGCGUGGGGAGCGAACAGGAUUAGAUACCCUUGUAGUC